ACCAUUUUUGGAGGUCAGAGAAAUGGCAGGGGUGUUGACAGUUGAAUUUCUCCCUAGGACAUAAAAGAUGUUUAAGAGACAAAUUGGGGGCAUUCAAAUAAAAAUAAAAUGGUAUCUAGUUCACUAAGUGGGCUUGUUUACUUAACAAGAGUAUUCUUGAUGUGGACAGUUUAAAAUGAUUGAGAGAGAGAAGAUUUGGUAGUUACCAUACCAAUCCGCUCUGACAACGUUGAAUUUCACUUCAUUUAUUUAACUAUUUGAAAAGAAAUGUAUUUCACUUAGGAAUCUGUUCAUGUCAAAUUUGCAUCUCCUAUAGGGGUAUUUUGAGGGGAUGGGAAGAGAGGCGCAUGUGUCUCACGCAUUUUCUUACAGCGGUUUUGCAGAGGCUUACUGGAGCUUUUGAAAAUAAAAAAGUUUAGAAUGUGAAAUUGUUGGAGACUACAGAGGAAGGGGAAAGGAGGAGUAGAUUUAUAGCUGAAGUGGGUUUGUAAACUCAGCCUCUGCUUUGGGAUUAUUCUUUAAUAAGUGCCACACAUUCUUCUGAUUUUCAUCCUGGCUUCAUUGUGGCUCUUUCUCUGUCUGUGUGAGGCUGGGGUGUUCCCUGUUUUAAAGCCGUAGCUGUCGCAGCCUGGGCGUUUUCUGUUUCUGCUUAUGGCUUUUUUUUUUCUCUUUUCCUGAAUGAGUGUCCUUUGUGUAACCCCAGUAAUUCAGAAAUCCUGCAGUCAUAGGGACUGCCCUGUCAUGUGACUUAGGUACUAGGUGCUGGCUGCGAUUGGUCAGCAGCUAAUUGGCGGGUCCCUAUAAGAGGUCUUGUUGGGUCCAGCGUCUGGCCACUCUCCUGCCUGGGCUGCUGCUCAACGGAGGCUGGAUGGGGGGGGGUUCUGACCAGUGAUUCAGCCACUUGGGAUAGAUUGACUAAGUGACUGCUUUCUUGGGGUCUGCAGACCCGUGGAAGACACUCAAAGUGGUUGUGACCGACUUGAUCCAACUCUGGGCUUCCUGAACUGGAAUGAAAUGCAGAUAACUCUUAGAAAACUUUUGUAGGAAAAGUGCCUCGUGUGAUCUGGAACAAAGACGUUUUAUAAUCAGAUUUAUCAAGCUCCGAAGAGGGAGUUUUAAUGAACGGAAGCAGCAGCAUUCUGUCACCAGGAAAUACUGCUUUAUCCAGUAUUGGUAAGUGAAAAGUGGCAUUGCUCCCUAAUAGAUAUCAUAUGUGCAUGUGGGAAUUGAAAAGUUGUUCACAGACCCCUAACAACGGUGUUGAACAGAGAACACAUAAACAGUGAGAAGGUCUAAAGAGCAGCAGAGAAUACCGCAUAAAGACUGAGAAACAGCCAGGUAAUUAACAAAAAUGAGCUGAGUGCUAUCAGUUUAGCUCAACAUAGGUAAUACAGCUAGAUUUGGUUGUUUUAUUUUUUCUUGUUUAGUGGAGGAGAAACAAAAUCAGAAUGGGCUGUUUAGUAGAGUUGCGACAUUAACUUUCCAUGGAUGUAGAUUUCCAUUUAGUCUGAUGUAGCAUGUGUGAAAUUUGAAGAGAUGAUUUCAGAAUUAGUCUACUUGCCCUCCUUUCCUUUCCUCUACAUUAGGAUGUCAAGUAUUCAGUUAGAACUUUACAAGAUAAAAGUUAUACAAAAUGAAAGUUCAAGUAAUGCAUCGGAAACACUUCCUCCUGAUUGGGAAGGAUAGAUUACAAUGGCAGUAGAUUUUUUUUUUUUAAACAUUUGUGUCAUGAAUUUUAAGUUUGUUCUACCUGAUUACAUUAGUACAGCAAAGGGUGAUUAUUUCUAUCUGUAUAGUUCAUAACUUUUUGAGAGAUCGUGAUUAGUAGUUCUUACUGGUUUGGUAUGCAUGUGCCUGCCUGUCUCUGUUUCCCUGAAAUCUUAAAUUCCGUUUUCUAAUCUUGAAUCUGAGCUGCCUCUAUGUUUAAGGGUUCUAGAAAAAGACAAUAAAGCUUUGAAUAUCUGCGUUAUAUACAACAGGUUCUUGUUCAUGAUGUAUAAGGUAAAACAAUUUUAUAUUAGGCAUGAAUGUCUAGUUUCUUGAUUUGGUUUCUUAAGAAUGUACCGAAAAGGUUGAACCGAGUAAGAAAAAGAACAUUAGAAUAGAAUGGUGGGUGACUGCCUGAUUUUACCAGUUUCUUAUUGGUCAACAGAAGUAAUCAUGUGAUGUCUACUUACAGAACCAGAUGGAAAAAAUUUUUGUUCUUUAAAUGCUAACAAUUAUAUAGGCAAUUUUAGUGAUCUUCAUUUAUUAAUUUGAAUAUAUAAUUGUAACUGUUAUUAACAGAAUGGGGUAAUUUAGAAAAUAAUAAUUCUUUCUUUUUAAGCUAAAUUGGAAAUUGAAUCUACUUCUGUGACUUUUGGUUCCUGUUCUGUUACUUUCAAAAUCUUAAAAUCCUUAACUCAAAAGGGAAAAUAUAUAAUAAAACAGGAUAGCAGUGCUGAAAUUUCUCUCUCUUAGCAGUGGAGGGCUAUGAAGGUGGGAGAAGGAGAUGAAUCUAGUGAGAUAUAUUAAUUGUUUUUCUCCCCCUCUUGUAUACUUGGAUGAAUUUUAAGAUCAUUUUUCUCAGACUAGCAGCUCUCAAGACUUUUGCAUAAGUAUUCUUAAAGAAAUAGAAAGACAAGAUAAGCACGGCUCUUAAGGGCAGGUCCUCCAACAAGUCAGGAAAUUGGUGAUCCAAACUCGUGAAUAUAACAAGUCAGUUUGAUUUAAUUAAGAUGUGGCAUUAGUUUUCUUGAAGCACACAAAUUUAUAGGUUUUUAGAGUCUUGAAGACAGAAAAAUGGCAACAAAGCAUUUAGGUAUUUACAGGUAAUGUAUAUUCAACUGCUAGCUUCUGUUUUCAACUCUGUAUUUCAUGUAAGUAAAUACUUGGGGAGAACAUGGUGAUUUAAUAAUCUGGGUAAAUACUGCUGUGCCUGUUGGAAAAAAGCCUCUCGUUUUUAGGUUUUCCUCAUCCAAUUUUGAAUGACAAAAUGUGUUAGAAGCAGGUUGGAAUAGUAAAUGCUAGAAAGUAUAUCCCAUAAAGAUUAUCUGAGAACUUCAUGUUUUCAAUUCUCUUUGCUGUUCUCUGUUCUCAAUUUAUUAACCUGUAAAAGUACAUCGAAAAUGAAUAACGUUGCUUGCUCUGAUUUCUCCUCUGGGGUCGUUGAGAGUCUUCACAUUUUUGUAUACCCUGUUAAAAGAUAAUAAUGACAUGCAUAUGCCUUUGUGUUUGUGGGUAUGUAAAGCAACAAACGAAGGGAUCUAGUUAAGUGACAGACUUCAAAACAAUUUCUCUGAAAUAGUAUUUGAAUGUGCAUAUUUGGGAACGUAAGUGCUUUCCCUUUGGGCUUGUUUCUUAAGUUUUUGGUGUAGUACACGGUUUUACCCAAUUAAAUUUUUCUUUUGAGGUCUGUGUAUGUAUGGGUGUAUGUAUUUGAUUUGAAGGGGAAGUUUUAAUCACUAGCGAAACAAGUGGCUGUUUGUUAGAACCCAGAUAAGCCUCAUAGUGUUGUUCCUAUGACAACUGAGUAGUUGGGUGUUGAAAUGUAGCUUUAAGUUCUUGGUUUGGAAAUGUCAUUCAGACCUCCCACUAUAGUCUCAGUGAGUAGGAGGAUAAUGAGAAGGGAGAAAACCAUGAAGCAACAUAAGUAUCUUCGUUCAUUUCAUGUCUUCCUAACUUGUCUUUGUGUACAGGAUCGCCAUGGGAGUGGUAAACACAGGUCUUGAACAAAGCAAUACUUCAAUAAAAAAUACAUGGAAAGGGGUCAGAAAAGUUGGGGAAGAUAAAUAACAACACAUGGGCCCAAUAAAGAGGCAGGAGACAUUGGCUUCUAUGGGUUUGUGCAAAUCCUUUACCCAGUACUGACCAGCAGUGAGAACAUCUUGAACCAGUUAUUGUAUAGCUCUUCAAGAGCUGUGAAUUUCCUUAAAAUGCAAUGUGGAGAAAAUUCCUUUGGUAGCAGGAUGGUUUACCACUUUGGCAUAACAUUUAUUCAUCUCCCCCGGGCAGACUACAGAGGAUACUGUGUUCUUUAAGGCACAAGUUUUUAAAGCAGUUGUUCAUUUGUCGUUUAAUAGCUUUUGUCUUUUUUCUAUGGGAACAGCAAGGUCGUACUAUUAAAAUAGUGAUAAAAUUUAAGCAUUUUAUAGUAUAUUCAAAAAGUGCUUUUGUAAAGUACUUAAAAAAAGAUUGAGACUUGUUUGUGGAAACUGUUUGUGGAUGGAGAAUUUAUGGAGCACUGUAUUUGAGGAGAGGGAUUGUUUAAUAUUUGACAUAGCUUAAUUAUGUAGUUGUUGAUUUUCCAUGUCUGAAGCUCUUCCGAUUUCCUACUCCUAAAUGGUUUUAACUAUUUAUUUGGUCACUAGAACCUCUUGAAGUUAGAAAGGAAAAGAUUUCAGUGGGGUUAGUCCCUUACUUAAUAAAUAGAUGUCCCCCAUCUCUUCCGUAAUCCAAAAAACUCUGAAAAUCAAAAGAUUUUCAGGUAACAAAUUUGGCAGCAAAUCCUGAACCGAUGUGAAGCUAAUGAUAUUCAUUGUUUAGCUCACUCAGAAUGAAUCUUUGUAUGUUUUACUGUAGAAUUAUUAAUGUGUUCGAUCAUGGAGUAUAGUUCCAGACUCCCCUAGAGGUUUAUACACU